rnacentral:lncRNA from 1 species
ACGUUCAGAUAGACAUUAUAGGAAAAGGGGUGUAUAUUUCAUUAGGGUUCAUAGGACUUUCUGUGGCAUCCUUAGGGACAUGAGACGGGGCGAGAUGGGCUUCUAUGGCAUCAACGUGGUCAGGGUAAGAAAUUUCAAGGAUUUCUUUGGGAAGGAGCCGCAGGAAGGAAGGAGCAGUGGCGAUGGCGAUGUGCUGGAAUUUUUAGGUCUGGACCUGGCUCCUAUAAUGCAGGCGUCUUUGCGGCCGAGCAGGAUAGUAUGCAGCUCCAGGGCCGUGGAGCUCCUCGUCAAGUCCAUCACCUGCGUCACCAAAACUCACAGAUUCGAGGAAGUGUCCGACAUUGAAAACUUGUCCAAGUCACUCCUGGAGCUCUUCCGCCUCGAUGUCCCUGGGAUGUGCGUCGUCACACGGCGUAAGCUGGAGCUCCAAAUUGACAACAUAGCAGUGGAUGCGAGCCCUGGUGUUGCAGUCGAGACGGAGGUGGAUGAUUUCAUUCGCCUCGUUGUGCAAAUUGAUAGGAGCUUCAAGGACAGGGAUCACGAUCCAGAGGCGGAGAUGAUCGCCUCAGGGAUUGCUGCGUAUCAGGAGCUCCUGGACCGUGUUUGUGAAUCUCCUCCGCAGGAGCUUCUUUUGCCUGGGAUUGUGAUGCGAGGCACUUGCCCAACGUUUUACCUGAUGAGGCUGAGCAGGGAGAUGGUGGAGUGCGUCAAGCAAGGGCGGCGGCCUGGCUUCUCGACGAGAGUCGACCAGUAUGUGCUUCCAGGCCUUGUUCCGCCCAGCUCCUGGGAUGCGAUCAUAGUGCCGGAGCACCGCGCGCACAUCGCACAGUGCCUCGAGUCUCUCAAAAGCUUUAUGUAAAGUGAAGAGAUGAUCAAAUGGACUGGAUCUGAGCUCGUCUUCGCUGGAAACAAUGAGAUGGCGUGCUGGCAAGCUGCCUUCGAUCCAAUGCUGCAGCGGGACAUGGUUUACGUCGCGUGGAAUCAAUUUACGUCGCGUGGAAGCAAUAGGAGUUUGGCACAGCUUAAAUCAAUGCAAGCAAAGAAGAGAUCGCAACGCCUGUCAUAUGCUAACUUUCAAGUUGAGGUGGCAUUUUGUGGGAGGUAGGGCGGGAAAGCAUUUAUGGAGGCGCUGGAUCGCUGGAUGUGGGAGACAUACUGUUUUCCUCUCUAUUUCCUGCUCAGAACUGGGUCUUUGAGAUGGUCUGAUGGAGGUGGUGAUUCCUCAUAGUUGGCAAUACACUAAGACAUCUUACUCUGUCAAUGAAAUUGGCACCACAUAUGCAGACGAGUGGAUGGGAUGGCCACUUUUCUUGCUUCACUACUUUGUUAUUGUGUCUCAGCUGAAAAAACUACUUUGUUAUUGUGUCUCAGCUGAAAAAACUGUUCAUGCUUAAUUAUCAAAUCCAGAGAAGCUGGUAAGGUAGUUGAAGCUUGCUCUCCAUCCUCGGAGGAAUGGAAUCGUUGGUAUUAGUAGCAUUUUUCACAGCUGGCCUUAAAGUUUUCUUCCUAUUAUCACUAGACUAUAGAGCUAUACUAGCAUGUUGUAUAACUCAAGAGAAAAACCAGGCAAAACAUUGGCAGUGCUUCAAUAGGGGUAAUUAACAGCCUGUCCAUGCUCACACUCGAAGGAGGUUUCAAUUGCAUGAUAAAAACCCAGCACUGGUAAAAACCAUUUCUAGUAAACAUGAUAACAAAAAAAUAGGAUGUAAAACAGUUUGAGCCGCUGUGUCUCAUGACGCAUACAACCAGCCAGAUGAUAACUUGCCCAUGAACACUGGAAUGACGUGAUUGCUGGGCUUGAGAUCCAACACCCCCUCGCAAACGCUCCUGGGCACACAGAGCAAAGAGAAGGUAUUUAGGUUUUCGCCUCCUUAGAUUCGUGGGAAAACCUCCACCUGUGGAGAAAGAGAGAGAAAUCUCCAAGUCAUCAGUCUGCAAAAUACUUUUGGUUUUCUAAGCUUUUGGUAAAUUAACUUAUGCAUUAUCCAUUUACAUAAAAAAGACUAAAGCAAACCAAAUGUUUACCAACAAUAAAUUAUAAUAAUCAAAAUAGUUUCAUAUGUAAUACUAAGCUGCCUGGUGGGCAAAAUUUUUUUGAUCUACAUAUUAUCAAUAAUCUCUUCCUGAUCUCUAGGGCCAUGCAGCUGUUCAAUUGUGACAUUCAUGAUCUGCAUAUAGCAAGUAUUAAGUCUGGAGGAAAUGCCUUUGAAACUAUAAAACACUUCACAAUAUCCUCACAACCAUCCUUGCCAUUCCAAGCACAUUGCCAUUGUCCAUACCAAGUGGCUUGCAUAUAAGGGGUGAACUUUGCCGAAUAUCCUUCUAGAUCAAAUCUGUAAAAUGCAAUUGUAUGAUCUACUAUCUUACAAUCAAUUGUAUGUUCACGUCAUGAUAGACUGCAAAUUGAACACUGAGUUUGAGCUGGAGCAAGUAAACUAAAAAUUAGGAGUUUAGCAAAGAGUUGGAAAGCACAAGUAUACAAACAUUGCUUGGGACUCUUUUUCAUGCCACGAAGUGCUGAUAAAAAUUUUAAAAACCUGUGUUGUAGCAGCUCAACUCAAGGCAGUAGGCAGAAAACACAGUGUGGUUAUUUACAGAGGCAAUUGGCAAAAACAAGUGCAAUAGCAGCAUGCCCCAGCUCACUUAAGACUGGACAUUAUUUAUCUUCUUUACUGUCCUACUACCAAGAAACUCCAAGUUCAAACAUUGAUCUUAAGUUUUUAUGGAAAUUGACACAUGCACUUGGAAUCUGAUCACCAGCACUCUCUUCACAAAGCCAAUGCCUCAAUGCGUAUAUGAAAGUAAACUUUCACAUCAAUGUUGCAUGGAUCCCCAUGCCUCAAUCAGGAGCUGCAUGCAGGUCCUCAUCUAGAUUGAGGGAGCAGCCCUGCUCAGAAGGAGGGAGCAAAUUUGAUUCUUACCCAUGAUGUCACACAUGGCAAAUGUCCUUCUUCUCUCACAAUAGCCAAUGGGCACACAAAACAUCUAUUUAUCAAAACAUUUCAGUGUUACAUGGUUAAAGAAAUCACCCUUACGAUGAUUGGCUGGAUCGACCGGCCUAAAACGUUCGGCAACUCAUUAUUAUAGAUGCUCCCUUUUAAGGUUUCAUUCAGGGUUGACAUGAGGCGGGGCGAGAUGGGCUUCUAUGGCAUCAACCUGGCCAGGGUAAGAAAUUUCAAGGAUUUCUUUGGGAAGGAGCCGCAUGAGGGCAGCAGUGGCAAUGGUGGCGAUGUGCUCGAGCUUUUAGGUUUGGACCUGGCUCCCAUCAUGCAGGGGUCUUUGCGGCCGAGUAGGAUAGCAUGCAGCUCCAGGGCCGUGGAGAUCCUUGUCAAGUCCAUCACCUGCGUCACCAAAACUCACAGGUUUGAGGAAGUGUCCGACAUUGAAAACUUGUCCAAGUCGCUCCUGGAGCUCUUCCGCCUCGAUCUCCCUGGCAUGCGCAUAACACGGCGUAAGCUGGAGCUCAAAAUUGGCAACACUAAAGUGGAUGCGAGCCCUGGUGUUGUAGUCGAGACGGAGGUGGAUGGUUUCAUUCGCCUCGUUGUCCAAAUUGAUAGGAGCUUCAAGGACAGGGAUCACGAUCCAGAGGCGGAGAUGAUCGCCUCAGGGAUUGCUACGUAUCAGGAGCUCCUGGAUAAGUAUGAGAACCAUGUUUGUGAAUCUCCUCCAGAGGAGCUUCUUUUACCAGGGAUUGUGAUGCGAGGCACUUGCCCAACAUUUUAC